GUUUUGCUUUAAAAUCCAUUUGAAAUACUGACUACAAACAGUAAGUUACAAGUGACUAAAUCGGAUUUCUUGGUGUUCAGACAGCAGUCAUUUGCUGACAUGGCUAUGGUUGUUGUCAUAGUAACGAUGUGUGUAUGUAGGCUGAUUGGUGGUGGUGCUCGUGGUUCCUACUCUGAAGUUAUGUAGCAAGCUAAAUAGACGUGGAAUGUUCAAAAUCAUAGUGUAAGAACACAUUUAAAGCCUCAAAGGAUAAGAUGAUCAAAGCCAUUUUUGGCUAGCCACUGCAGUCAGCUAGCGAGCUAGGUUGCGGUUUAGCUUUCUAGCACAUUCACUAAUUUGUUUGAACAAUUAACAAGCUAGUUAGCUAGCUUGUUAACCACAUGUUCUUGUCAAACUGUCAACAGAGUAGCUAGCAAGCCACAAGAUGUGCCAAAAACACUUGAGGGCAAAUAAAUCAUAUUUGACCAUUCAGAGACAAGUCGCAUGAAAGGCAAUCAGAUUUUUAUCUGUGGCUUCAAAUAUCUGAAUCCAUGUUCUUUUUGGUUGUUCAAACUGCAGGAAAAAGAAAAAUUCAAAGAAAAAAAAAAAAGGACUUGAGUCACUUCAAACUGCCAGUGUGAACGAGGCUUAACUGCCCUGACAGCAGGUCUACCUGGACAACCACAGCCAACUCAUAAUGAACAAGCCGGUAGCUGUACUAUUCAUACGUGUAAACAUACUGAAUUGUAAUUGGAUGCAUUUGACCGCCAUCUCAUACUGUGCUAUGAUUGGUUAAGACCACCCAAACGGUUAGGUCAUGGUCAGUUUGAUCCUGGUUGGCUGUACGUGAACAUGUCAGUUAUAGCUACAUUAAGAAAUAUCCUGUAGUACUGCAUUUUAUUAUUUUGUACAGUGUGCAAAAUAAGACAUGUUGUCAGAGUAAAUGGUCUUACAAGAUGGAUUUUUCUGGAGUUCCUUCGAAUGGACUGGGAGUCAACAAACUUACCCGAUGCAUGGCGUAAGUACAAACAGCAUGUGGAGCUAAUGUUCACGGGUCCUCUGAAUGACAGAGAAGAGGAAAAAUGCAGCAACCUGCUCCUCUGGAUCGGUGAAACAGGGAGAGAUAUUUACAACACAUGGACACUUACCGAGGCUGAAUCAAAGGCCGGUGGUAGCUGGUCCCCUACAAGAAGGACAUCGAGGGGUCCCCGGCGUACACAAGCUAUUCUGGACUCGAGACACCGGAUGAGGGGCCUGCAGUACCUCGUGGACUGGGAGGGGUACUGUCCAGGGGAGAGGUGCUGGGUACAUAGAUCCUUCCCUCUUGAGGGAUUUCCACCGCCUCCACCCGGAUCGCCUCGUCCUCCGGGUCGUCCUCGAGGCCGGGGUCGGCGCGCGUCAGGGGGGGGGAUACUGUCACGAAUCCCGCCGAAGAUGGUGCCUCUUCCUGUUCGGGCGGCGCUCGGCGGUCAUCGUCGCCGGCCUAUUAGCUGCCAUUGAUUUCCUUUUGUUUCUGUUAGUUGGGUCUAAUUGGUUACAAUGUUUUGAGUUAGUUUUGUUUGUAGUUAGUGUGAUCUCUAUUUUUCCGGACAGUUUUAGUCCUGUUUAUUUUGGACGGGUUGUUUCAUGCGCCCUUGUGUUUUGCAUGUCCGUGUCUCCGCUGUCUUUGGAAUAAAAGUAUCCACAUACGGAAUUACCUGCUCUCUGCGCUUGACUCCUCCACUCACCAUUCAUAGAAGUCAUAACAGGUGCGUGAUAUUUGGAACAAUGUGCUGAAUUAGCAGAAAACUCUGGGGUGGAUACUUCUCUGACGAGUUGGUUUGGAAAAUUGAAAAAUGUCAUGAUCACUGUGUUGUGGGCAACCUUCACCUGUGUGACUGUGUUAGUUUUGUGCGGAUGUUGUUUGAUUCCAUGCGUGAGCGGUCUCAUUUCCAGGACUCUGGAGAAAUCGAUGACACAUCAGAUGGUGAGAUACGGACCGAUGCCGAGCUCUGACCAGUGGAAUGAUGAAUACAUACCCCCAGACCUAGUAGAUGGACCCGGCUCCUUCACUUACGAGGAGCCUAUGUUAGAUGAGACCAUUUUUAAUGUUUAGGUUCCUUCUUGUUUUGAUGUUAGUUUUGGACUUUUUUAAUGAAGAUUAUAACGAAAAUCCUGACAAGAGUUAUGAUUCUGAUGUAGGCCUAGAACAGUCAUUGUAAAUACAUAUACUGUUUUUCUGUGCGGUUGAUUUUGAGUAUAAUGGAUAAUUCUAAUAAAAAUGAUGUGUGAUUAAAUGUUUAAUAUUUAGUCAAAGGGUGGAUUGUUAAGAAUUUUAUGUAUAAUGACUAAAUUAUGUAUACAUUUAAAGUAAUGAUAGAUAUAGUCCUAACAGAAUUCUACCCUGUCAAUGUAUAACGAUGAAGAAUGUUUGACCAUGAGAAAGAGGGACUGUUCGCAGGCAAGGAACUGUGGCAGACAACUUGUGACCACUGUGAAACUGAUAACGGGGAAGGAAGUCUCCCCAUCCAGGGAGGGGAGAAACCUUGGGUUUGCAGUAGAUUGUGUAACAUGUUGCAGGAUGUGAUAAGCAAUGUAGGAGAAGACUUGUAAACUAUAUUGUCAUUGUCUGAGAGGAGGAGGGACAUUUAUGAUGAAAUGAGAGGUAUAUAAACCAAUGUACAUUAAAUGAUAAGCAGAGCUCUCGUAAAUAAAUGUUGCUGACUAUUGUA